GACUUGGAGGUGUGCCCUUGAGGCUGGUUCCGGAGCUAACGCGUUAAGCGACCGCCUGGGGAGUACGGCCGCAAGAUAAAACUCAAAUGAAUUGACGGGGGCCCGCACAAGCGGAGGAGCAUGUGGCUUAAUUCGAUGCAACGCGAAGAACCUUACCUACUCUUGACAUCCAGAGAACUUUCCAGAGAUGGAUUGGUGCCUUCGGGAACUCUGAGACAGGGGCUGCAUGGUUGUCGUCAGCUCGUGUUGUGAAAUGCUGGAGUAAGUCCCGCAACGAGCGCAACCCUUAUCCUUUGUUGCCAGCGGUUAGGCCGGGAACUCAAAGGAGACUGCCAGUGAUA
rnacentral:rRNA from 1 species